rnacentral:rRNA from 1 species
GAGUUUGAUCCUGGCUCAGAAUGAACGCUGGCGGCAUGCCUAACACAUGCAAGUCGAACGAAGCCUUCGGGCUUAGUGGCGCACGGGUGCGUAACGCGUGGGAAUCUGCCCUUGGGUUCGGAAUAACUCUCCGAAAGGAGUGCUAAUACCGGAUGAUGUCGAAAGACCAAAGAUUUAUCGCCCAAGGAUGAGCCCGCGUAGGAUUAGCUAGUUGGUGAGGUAAAGGCUCACCAAGGCGACGAUCCUUAGCUGGUCUGAGAGGAUGAUCAGCCACACUGGGACUGAGACACGGCCCAGACUCCUACGGGAGGCAGCAGUGGGGAAUAUUGGACAAUGGGCGAAAGCCUGAUCCAGCAAUGCCGCGUGAGUGAUGAAGGCCUUAGGGUUGUAAAGCUCUUUUACCCGGGAUGAUAAUGACAGUACCGGGAGAAUAAGCUCCGGCUAACUCCGUGCCAGCCGCCGCGGAAUAC